UGGGGAAUAUUGGACAAUGGGCGCAAGCCUGAUCCAGCCAUGCCACGUGAGUGAUGAAGGCCCUAGGGUUGUAAAGCUCUUUCACCGGUGAAGAUAAUGACGGUAACCGGAGAAGAAGCCCCGGCUAACUUCGUGCCAGCAGCCGCGGUAAUACGAAGGGGGCUAGCGUUGUUCGGAUUUACUGGGCGUAAAGCGCACGUAGGCGGACUAUUAAGUCAGGGGUGAAAUCCCGGGGCUCAACCCCGGAACUGCCUUUGAUACUGGUAGUCUUGAGUUCGAGAGAGGUGAGUGGAAUUCCGAGUGUAGAGGUGAAAUUCGUAGAUAUUCGGAGGAACACCAGUGGCGAAGGCGGCUCACUGGCUCGAUACUGACGCUGAGGUGCGAAAGCGUGGGGAGCAAACAGG
rnacentral:rRNA from 1 species